AUGAAAGUAAAGAAUACCCAACUUUCACAUUGUUUCGGCAUCUCAUUCAGAAACUCUAAUCAAAAUUCAUUUAAAGAAUAGCAACCUGAAUGAUGUUAAAUAUGAACUAUGUACAUCAUAUUUUUUUUAAUAUAGCGUGUUUGAAAUGUAAAAAACCAACAUCCCUCACAUUUUAUGCUUUUUAUCACUAUUAUAAACAGGGUGCCAUAUACUGCUAUAGUUUCAAAUAGUGAAAUCUUGACUGAUUUCUGCCUAAGUAUUUCACAAAAUAUUAAAUACAACGAUAUCCAGCUGCACAUAAGUUAUUAUACCAUUUACAUUUCUUCUAAAUCCUUUAGACAUGGCUCACAUGAGUAUUAACUUCUCGGUAAUUUCGGAAUUUCAAUUUUCCACUCCUACGAUGAAUAACAGUGCCAUAUAAAUCGGUA